rnacentral:rRNA from 1 species
UCUGAAUCUGCGUACGGCUCCGCCAACCAGUUGUAAACUAUAGCAAGCAAUCCUGUGGCUGGGUUUCGGCCUGGUCAUGGGUAAAAUGGAUAACCAUGGUAAUUCUGAGGCUAAUACAAGAACGUACUCCCUGGCUGCCCGGCAACGGAAGGCUGGGGAGCGUGCAACGUAUCGUAAGACAAACCGGGAAUGGGUGCACGCUCGGCCCGCGCAAAAAACAGAUCUUGGCGAGCCUUCGGGUGAGCCUUGGCCUGAGCGGCUCUUGCUGUGUGCUUCUGACCUAUCAACUAGAUGGCAGCGUAACGGACAUGCUAUGGU